rnacentral:rRNA from 1 species
UGGGGAAUAUUGCACAAUGGGCGAAAGCCUGAUCCAGCAAUGCCGCGUGUGUGAAGAAGGCCUUCGGGUUGUAAAGCACUUUUGUCCGGAAAGAAAUCCUUGGCUCUAAUACAGUCGGGGGAUGACGGUACCGGAAGAAUAAGCACCGGCUAACUACGUGCCAGCAGCCGCGGUAAUACGUAGGGUGCAAGCGUUAAUCGGAAUUACUGGGCGUAAAGCGUGCGCAGGCGGUUUGCUAAGACCGAUGUGAAAUCCCCGGGCUCAACCUGGGAACUGCAUUGGUGACUGGCAGGCUAGAGUAUGGCAGAGGGGGGUAGAAUUCCACGUGUAGCAGUGAAAUGCGUAGAGAUGUGGAGGAAUACCGAUGGCGAAGGCAGCCCCCUGGGCCAAUACUGACGCUCAUGCACGAAAGCGUAGGGAGCAAACAGGAUUAGAUACCCUGGUAGUCCACGCCCUAAACGAUGUCAACUAGUUGUUGGGGAUUCAUUUCCUUAGUAACGUAGCUAACGCGUGAAGUUGACCGCCUGGGGAGUACGGUCGCAAGAUUAAAACUCAAAGGAAUUGACGGGGU